UGGAAAAAAUCCGGCCAGCGGCUGAGCAGACGGGAAGAUUUAUCUGCCCGGAUGUUCAGACAUUGGACGGAUUCAGGAACAUGAGCAUGAAGAGCGAGAGCUCGGAAUGCGAAUGAUUCCGGAGGAUGGCGAGAGUGCGGCGCACGAAGCCAUCCAAUUUUCCA
rfam:Eubacteriaceae bacterium CHKCI004 isolate CHKC4 genome assembly, contig: {contig22}